rnacentral:rRNA from 1 species
AACGAACGCUGGCGGCAGGCCUAACACAUGCAAGUCGAGCGCCCUUUCGGGGGAGCGGCGGACGGGUGAGUAACGCGUGGGAAUAUGCCCUUCUCUACGGAAUAGCCUCGGGAAACUGAGAGUAAUACCGUAUACGCCCUGUGGGGGAAAGAUUUAUCGGGGAAGGAUUAGCCCGCGUUGGAUUAGGUAGUUGGUGGGGUAAUCGCCUACCAAGCCGACGAUCCAUAGCUGGUUUGAGAGGAUGAUCAGCCACACUGGGACUGAGACACGGCCCAGACUCCUACGGGAGGCAGCAGUGGGUGAUCUUAGACAAUGGGGGCAACCCUGAUCUACCCAUGCCGCGUGAGUGAUGUAGUCCUUAGGGUUGUAAAGCUCUUUCAGCUGUGAAGAUAAUGACGGUACCAGCAGAAGAAGCCCCGGCUAACUCCGUG